rnacentral:rRNA from 1 species
UCUACCGUCACCCAGGUCAUUACCAACAAAGACACCAAGAAAACCUUAAGAGUUAUUCAAGAGAGGUACAGCUCUCUUGAAAAAGAACACAACCU